rnacentral:misc_RNA from 1 species
AAGUCGUAACAAGGUUUCCGUAGGUGAACCUGCGGAAGGAUCAUUAUUACGUAUCCACGUAUCAAACCAAAUCGUGAACUGUUUCCCGUCUGAUGAGGAUUUCUGCGAGUGUUUGAACAUUUAUUAAAUGCAUGGUGAGGACUCCUAGUCGCAAGACUGGUUUCUUCGAAAUGGCACUCGGUCCUGGUUACCCUCUCGGGGCUUCAGCCAGCUCAUUAGAUGUGGUUGAAUUUCAAUCACUAUGCUAAAACUAUUAACCCCUUGUAAAACACUUGAACUAAAUUACGGAGACAAGACCCUUAACCAGGAAACUAUCUCUGAUAAACCGAAACUUAAGAAACAACUCUUAACAACGGAUAUCUUGGUUCUC